GGUUUCGUAGCUCAAUGGGAGAGCACUCGACUGAAGCUCGAGUUACGGGGGUUCGAUUCCCCCCGAAGCCA
rnacentral:tRNA from 1 species